rnacentral:rRNA from 1 species
AUCAUGCCAGCACCGGGGACAAGCUUUGAUACACUUGGGGAGACCUAUGCUUUUUACAAUCUCUACUCAUGGGAGAAGGGAUUUGGAAUAAGGUACGGGAAGAGUAGGCUGAAUGUGGAGAGAACAAAAUGCAUGCAGGAAAUCGUUUGUGGAUGUACGGGCAAAGCAGGGGUGGAGAACACGAGAUCGUGCCGAUGCGAAUGCCCAGCAUUAAUAAGGUUGCUCUAUUUGAAGGACAAUGGUUGGUACAUAUCUGAACAUCGUGAACAACACAAUCAUUCGCUAUCUCCAACAUAUGGGCACACGAUUCACUGGCCGUCCCACAAUCACAUUGAUGCCUAUAGCAGAGACUUGGUAGAGCAGUUACGGCAGAACAAUGUGAAUUUAGCCAAAGUACACAGUAUAAUUGGGAGCUUUUUUGGU